CAGUGUGACAUGUAUAUUCGGCUUGAAUUAUCCGAUGGUCAGGUAAAUCACAACCUGUUAAAAUGAGUUUUAUUUGACACCUGGUACACACGAAGUAGUUACACCACAGGUGUACACACUCCUUCCGAAAAUAUUAUUUACAAAUUAUAAAAUUAAAUAAUGUGUAGAAAAAAAAACUUAAUUUGUUUGAUAAAUAUCGUUUAUCAUGA
rnacentral:lncRNA from 1 species